AUUGAACGCUGGCGGCAGGCCUAACACAUGCAAGUCGAACGAGUGGCGGACGGGUGAGUAAUGUCUGGGAAACUGCCCGAUGGAGGGGGAUAACUACUGGAAACGGUAGCUAAUACCGCAUACCAUCGGAUGUGCCCAGCUGGGAUUAGCUUGUAGGUGAGGUAACGGCUCACCUAGGCGACGAUCCCUAGCUGGUCUGAGAGGAUGACCAGCAACGCUGGAACGAAGGCCAGGUCAAGACACGUAGGGGAGGCGGAAGUGGGGAAGAUUGCAGAAUGGGCGCAGGUCUGAUGCAGCCAUGCCGCGUGGAUGAAGAAGGACUUCGGGUGGUAAAGUACUUGCAGCGGGGAGGCGUUACCCGCAGAAGAAGCACCGGCUAACUCCGUGCCAGCAGCCGCGGUAAUUC
rnacentral:rRNA from 1 species